AUGAUGACUUGCAACCCCUAUUGGGAGGAGAUAACCGAGAAACUGUUGCCUGGACAACUGCCGCAGGACCGUCCAGACCUGGUGGCAAGAGUAUACAAGGCUAAACAGCGAGAUAUGAUGGACUUACUAACUAAGGGUAAGCAUUUCGGAGAAGUCGCAGCCUAUGUACAUGUAACUGAGUUUCAGAAGCGAGGUCUCCCUCAUGAGCAUAUACUUCUAAUCAUGAAGUCAAAAAGCAAGUUAGCGACACUAGAUGACUAUGAUCGAGUGAUAUGUGCAGAGAUACCAGACUAA
rnacentral:rRNA from 1 species